GCGACACUAGCUCAGUUGGUAGAGCGCAACCUUGCCAAGGUUGAGGGCACGAGUUCGAACCUCGUGUGUCGCUCCA
rnacentral:tRNA from 1 species